AAAGCGUGCGCAGGCGGUUAUGUAAGACAGAUGUGAAAUCCCCGGGCUCAACCUGGGAACUGCAUUAGUGACUGCAUAGCUGGAGUACGGCAGAGGGGGAUGGAAUUCCGCGUGUAGCAGUGAAAUGCGUAGAUAUGCGGAGGAACACCGAUGGCGAAGGCAAUCCCCUGGGCCUGUACUGACGCUCAUGCACGAAAGCGUGGGGAGCAAACAGGAUUAGAUACCCGGGU
rnacentral:rRNA from 1 species